rnacentral:misc_RNA from 1 species
UGAUUAAGAAUCUGAAGUGACAAUUGCCCCUGAACGUCAAAGUUAUUCAUUCCACCAUCUCGUCUUAGAGUUACAUUGAGUUUCUCCUCAACAGUCAAAGUGAUGGGAUCAGUUGGUGGUGGGGCGGCAGAUUUGGAUAGGCCUGCCUUUGGCUGCACUUCAUCAAGAAUCACCUCACCUUCUGCUUUCAGUGACUCCAAAAAUUGGUUUGUCCUUUGGGUUUUACCAAGCUUCAUACCAAGGCCUUUAGGAGGAGCAGCAGCAGAUGAUGGCUGACGACCUUUAGAUUU